rnacentral:rRNA from 1 species
CCCUUAGAUGUUCUGGGCCGCACGCGCGCUACACUGAUGCAUUCAACGAGUCUAAAACCUGGUCUGAUAGGGCUGGGUAAUCUUUUGAAUGUGCAUCGUGGUUGGGAUAGAUGAUUGCAAUUCUUCAUCUUCAACGAGGAAUGCCUAGUAAACGCAAGUCAUCAGCUUGCAUUGAUUACGUCCCUGCCCUUUGUACACACCGCCCGUCGCUCCUACCGAUUGAAUGUUCCGAUGAAUACCAUGGACUGAGAGUAUGAAUGGGUUCGCCUAUUUCUGCUUCUCGGGAAGUGGAGUAAAUCUUAACAUUUAGAGGAAGGAGAAGUCGUAACA